GACGAACGCUGGCGGCGUGCUUAACACAUGCAAGUCGAACGGAAAGGCCCUGCUUUUGUGGGGUGCUCGAGUGGCGAACGGGUGAGUAACACGUGAGUAACCUGCCCUUGACUUUGGGAUAACUUCAGGAAACUGGGGCUAAUAUCGGAUAGGAGCUCCUGCUGCAUGGUGGGGGUUGGAAAGUUUCGGCGGGUGGGGAUGGACUCGCGGCUUAUCAGCUUGUUGGUGGGGUAGUGGCUUACCAAGGCUUUGACGGGUAGCCGGCCUGAGAGGGUGACCGGGGACAUUGGGACUGAGGUACGGCCCAGACUCCUACGGGAGGCAGAAGUGGGGAAUAUUGCACAGUGGGGCGAAGGCAGAUGCGGCAACGCCGCGUGCGGGAAGACGGCCUUCGGGUUGUAAACCGCUUUCGCCUGUGACGAAGCGUGAGUGACGGUAAUGGGUAAAGAAGCACCGGCUAACUACGUG
rnacentral:rRNA from 1 species